rnacentral:rRNA from 1 species
GAUGAACGCUGGCGGCGUGCCUAAUACAUGCAAGUCGAGCGAACAGAUGAGGAGCUUGCUCCUCUGACGUUAGCGGCGGACGGGUGAGUAACACGUGGAUAACCUACCUAUCUGACUGGGAUAACUUCGAGAAACCGGAGCUAAUACCAGAUAAUCUAUUGAACCGCAUGGUUCAAUAGUGAAAGACGGUUUUGCUGUCACGUCUAGAUGGAUCCGCGCCGCAUUAGCUAGUUGGUACGGUAACGGCCUACCAAGGCAACGAUGCGUAGACGAGGUGAGAGAGUGGUCGCCGGCCCUGGAGCUGGACCACGGACCAGGGGCCUACGGGAGGGCCCAGAAUGCAACCGGACGCAGUAGUCGAGAGUAUGGCGGAAUGGCGCCACGUGUGAGGCGAAGGCCUUCGGAUCGUAAUGAUCGCUUUUGAGUUGUGAACCAAUGUGUAAGGAACUGUGCACGUAUUGACGGUACCUGAUCAGAAAGCCCCGGCUAACUACGUG